CCACUGCACUUCGGGAUAAGCCUGGGAAACUGGGUCUAAUACCGGAUAGGAGCCAUUUUUAGUGUGAUGGUUGGAAAGUUUUUUCGGUGUAGGAUGAGCUCGCGGCCUAUCAGCUUGUUGGUGGGGUAAUGGCCUACCAAGGCGGCGACGGGUAGCCGGCCUGAGAGGGUGGACGGCCACAUUGGGACUGAGAUACGGCCCAG
rnacentral:rRNA from 1 species